UCCUCCCGCAGGCACCCAAGGUGCUUAUGUGGGGAGAGGGUGCCUCUCUCACUCUCAGGAGGAACAGUCAACACCCUGCCCCUUGGUUCCUCGCCGCUGGCUCCCAGCCCAUCUCUGCGCCCUGGAGCCGACUUUCUGAGGGAGACGGGGGGUGGGGGCAGGAGGCCCACUGUCCCAGGGGCACAGGCCUGGUCCAGGGUCCACCUGGGGAAGAGCUUGUCUUCCCAACCAGACGGUGCUGCUCAGAGAGGGAGACAGGUCGGCCCAGGGCCCCAGACCAGCGCCCUCCCCAUGACGAUGCCUGGAACUGCGUGUCCCUGAACUCCCUCCGAGUUGCACUAGAUCCAGCUGUUUCCAGACAGGGAAGCUUCAGCUCCUCAGGGCGGGGGGACGUGCCCAGCUGCCCGUCCUGACUCGUGGGCUCAGCACCAACGGAGACACAAGCUCGCAUGACGGAAGGUGCAUGUGUACUCCCCGAGGCCGUCUUUACAGGCGCCCUGAUUCAGACAAGGACUGCUGUCACACUGGUCACCAUCUGCAAAGGAAAAAUGUGGAAACCAAAGCUUGCAGGCAAUCCCCAUCAUUGCAGAAACGAUUCUGCUGUGUUGAUCUUGGCCGCAUUUCUCAGAAGAGAUUAUACAGAACUGGUGUUACUUCUCCAAACGUCUGAUAAAAUUCACCAGUGACACCAUCUGGACUUGGACAUUUCUUUUCCAGUAGGUUCUUAACUAAGAAGUUGAAUUUGCAAAUACCUCUUUCACACUGUGUUUUCAUAGUUCGUGGUUUUGAGGAAUUGGUCCAUUUCAUUCAAAUUGUCCAAAUUUCAUCCAAAUUUGUGUGUGUUGUGCGCAGCAUUCUCUUAUUACCCUUUUUUAGCACGUGCAGGAUCUGUACUAACAUUUUCUCUUUCAUUCCUCAUAUAGUGUGUGUGUUCUUUUUUUUCAAUCUUAUUAAGUCUUAUUCGUUUUAUUGAUUUUUCUCUAUUAUUUCAUGUCUUCAAUUUUAUUGAUUUCUCUUCUUUAGGGUUUAUUUUGCCCCUUUUUUGAUGCCUUAAGGUGGAAGCUAAGAUGAUCAAUUUGAGAUCUUUCUUCUUUUCCAGUAAAAGCGCCUAGUGCUAUCAUCCCUCUGUAAGCACUGUUUAGCUGCAGCCCACAGGUUUUGUAUGUUGUAUACUCAUUUUUGUUCAGUUGGAAGGAUUUUCUAGCUUCCCAUGAGGCUUCUUCUUUGGCACAUGGAUUAUUCAGAAGUGUGCUAAUUUCCACAUACUUGGAAACUUUCCUGUCAUUGAUUUCUGGUUGAUUCCAGUAUGGUCAGAUAAUGUAUUUUGUACGAUUUUAAUCUUUUAAAUCUGUUAAGGUGUAUUUUAUAAUACAGAAUGUGGUCUAUUUUGUGGAACGUUCCAUGGGUGCUUGGAAAUAAAUUAUAUUCUGCUGCUGUUGAGACUCGUAUAAAUUCAGUUAGAUUCAGGUCAAGUGGGGUCUGGAGAACUGAAAGGGAAAAACAUGGUAACCUCACAGCCAGUUACACAGGACUCUGAAUUGGUUUUCUCCUGCAAUACACUGCUGCUAGCUGCUUUUCAGGUUCUUCAGACUGCUGCCCCAUGCUCCCUACCCCGGCGCUGCAGCUGCAGCUGCAGUCGGUGUAAGAAACAGGGUGGAGUCUGCUUCCCCUGUACAACCAGAACCAGAACUUGCUGAUAACCUAGAUCCAGGACCCCUUCUCUGGAGAGGCUCUUAGAAGAUACCCCAGAAGAAACACGUUCUGUGUUUUCAUAAGAGCAACGUUAAGAAUAACUUAUAUGGGAAAAAUGCGGAAAAAGUAAAUGCACCCAUACAAUAAAAUACAAUUUCGUUCUUUAAACUUGUAAGUAUGGAAGCUGUGAGGUAAGGAAGAGUGGGAAAUGAUGCUGAGGAAAAGGCAGAAUGUGAACUUGGACGACUGGCAUUACCAUUAUUUUUGUUAUUAAAAAACUGUAUGUGUGUGUGAAUUAAAGGGAACUUUAAAAAUAAAAA